rnacentral:rRNA from 1 species
UACGGGGGGGGCAAGCGUUGUUCGGAAUUACUGGGCGUAAAGGGCUCGUAGGCGGCCAACUAAGUCGGACGUGAAAUCCCUCGGCUUAACCGAGGAACUGCGUCCGAUACUGGAUGGCUUGAGUUCGGGAGAGGGAUGCGGAAUUCCAGGUGUAGCGGUGAAAUGCGUAGAUAUCCACAGGAACUCCGGUGGCGAAGGCGGCGUGCUGGACCCUCUCUGACGCUGAGGCGCGAAAGCCAGGGGAGCGAACGGG